UACCUGCAGCUCGAGUGGUAACCGCUAUUAUUGGGCCUAAAGCGUCCGUAGCCGGUUUGGUAAAUAUCUGGGUAAAUCGUGAGGCUUAACUUCACGAAUUUCGGAUAGACUGCCAGACUUGGGAUCGGGGGAGGUCAGAGGUACUCCAGGAGUAGCGGUGAAAUGUUGUAAUCCUUGGAGGACCACCGGUAGCGAAGGCGUCUGACUAGAACGAGUCCGACGGUGAGGGACGAAGCCCUGGGGCGCAAACCGGAUUAGAUACCCGGGUAGUCCAGGGUGUAAACAAUGUGGGCUUUGUAUUGGAGGUCCCACGUGGGCGUCCAGUGCAGAAGAGAAGUUGUUAAGCCCACCGCCUGGGAAGUACGGUCGCAAGGCUGAAACUUAAAGGAAUUGGCGGGGGAGCACAGCAACGGGAGGAGCGUGCGGUUU
rnacentral:rRNA from 1 species